rnacentral:sRNA from 1 species
CCUAACUCGAAAUAUAUUCAGUUUGCCACCAGAGCUUGUCUGGAGCACAACUCGUUUCGGAAAUAAACAAAUUUCAAAAGGCACCCAAAAUUAAAAGUGAAGCAACGGAAAUUUAUUGGUUAACUUGGGUGAUGAUACACACCCAGACGCACACAUAAAAAGAGUCAUACUGCCAUGCAAGUUAAACAGAUGAAAGCCCUAUAUACACAUACAUACAUUUGAACGGACUGAGUGCAGUUGACACAGAUAUUAGCUGCUGCCCCGUCAAAAUGAACACAAUUGGAAACUAAUGAAGAUCGUUCCGCAUACCCUAGGUUUAGUUGACCGCCGCCUGGCCUUCUUUUUGCUAUAAGGGAAUUCAAAGCGAUGGUACCGGUCCCGCUGGACGAGAGGAUUGCAUCGCUUGAAUUAGAACUGUAAAUGCUGAUGAACCACACAUCCCAUUGAAUAUUAACCUUUCGCUUGUCCUUGUCUUUAAUAAACGCAAUUCAUCGAAUACA